rnacentral:tRNA from 1 species
UAAAAUAAAGCGAUUUAAUUGCGUUCAGUUUCGGCCUGAAUUUAGAAGAAUAUCUAUUUUUU